rnacentral:rRNA from 1 species
CGGGGACCCAAGUACCCCUCGGUGGGUGUGCUCGGGCCCGGCCAUCCUUCUGUAAACUUUCGCGCGUCCUUCACCGGUCGGCAAAGGGAUCAGAUAAUUUACCUUGAGAAAAUUAGAGUGUUUCAGGCAGGCUUAGCCGGAAUACAUUAGCAUGGAAUAAUGGAAUAGGACUGAGGUCUCGUUGUUGGUUACGCGGACUACAGUAAUGAUUAAUAGGGACAGUUGGGGGCAUUAGUAUUUAAUAGCUAGAGGUGGAAUUCUCUAAUUUGUUAAAGACUAACUUAUGCGAAAGCAUUUGCCAAGGAUGUUUUCAUUAAUCAAGAACGAAAGUUAGGGGAUCAAAGACGAUCAGAUACCGUCCUAGUCUUAACCAUAAACUAUGCCGACUCGGGAUCGGGAGCGUGUGUUAUCCGCUUUCGGCACCGUAUGAGAAAUCAAAGUCUUUGCGUUCUGGGGGGAGUAUGGUCGCAAGGCUGAAACUUAAAGGAAUUGACGGAAGGGCACCACCAGGC